GCUCCAGCGUUUAGCGGCGGACGGGUGAGUAACACGUGGGCAACCUGCCCUGCGGAUCGGGAUAACUCCGGGAAACCGGUGCUUAUACCGAAUAAUUUGUUUCACCUCCUGGUGAAACACGGAAAGACGGUUUCGGCUGUCACUGCGGGAUGGGCCCGCGGCGCAUUAUCUAUUUGGUGGGGUAAUGGCCCACCAAGGCGACAAUGCGUAGCCGACCUGAGAGGGUGAUCGGGCACACUGGGACUGAGACGCGGCCCGGACUCCUACGGGAGGCAGCAGUGGGGAAUCUUCCGCAAUGGACGCAAGUCUGACGGAGCAACGCCGCGUGAGUGACGAAGGUUUUCGGAUCGUAAAACUCUGUUGUGAGGGAAGAACAAGUACCAACUAACUACUGGUACCUUGACGGUACCUCACCAAAAAGCCACGGCUAACUACGUGCCAGCAGCCGCGGUAAUACGUAGGUGGCAAGCGUUGUCCGGAAUUAUUGGGCGUAAAGCGCGCGCAGGCGGUCCCUUAAGUCU
rnacentral:rRNA from 2 species